rnacentral:rRNA from 1 species
UACGAAGGGGGCAAGCGUUGUUCGGAAUUACUGGGCGUAAAGGGCGCGCAGGCGGCCAGACAAGUCAGAUGUGAAAGCCCCGGGCUCAACCUGGGAAUAGCAUUUGGGACUGUUUGGCUAGAGAUCGGGAGAGGGAGAGUGGAAUUCCCAGUGUAGAGGUGAAAUUCGUAGAUAUUGGGAAGAACACCGGUGGCGAAGGCGGCUCUCUGGACCCGAUACUGACGCUG